CAAAGGCUGGUCCCUGACUUUACCAUCCGCCUUAACCCAAAUUUAUACAUGCAAGUAUCCGCACCCCCCGUGAGAAUGCCCCUAAAAUCCCACCCGGAAACGAGGAGCAGACAUCAGGCACGCUAAUUGCAGCCCAUGACGUCUUGCUCAGCCACACCCCCAAGGGAAUUCAGCAGUAAUAAACCUUAGGCAAUAAGUGAAAACUUGACCUAGUUAUGGUUAUAAGAGGGCCGGUAAAACCCGUGCCAGCCACCGCGGUCAUACGAGUGUUAGCCCGAGCAGAUGGUCAACGGCGUAAAGAGUGGUUAGGGGCCGUACGCAACUAAAGCUAAACCCUCGCAAAGCCGUUAUACGCAUUUGAUAGCAGGAAAUUCUUAGAGAGAAGAGGCUUUAACUCAACCCGAACCCACGACAGCUAGGACACAAACUGGGAUUAGAUACCCCACUAUGCCUAGCCGUAAACAUUGAUAGAUAUAAUACAACUUCUAUCCGCCAGGGAACUACGGGCAUCAGCCUAAAACCCAAAGGACUUGGCGGUGCUUUAGACCCACCUAGAGGAGCCUGUCCUAGAACCGAUAACCCCCGUUCAACCUCACCACUUCUUGCCUAACCCGUCUAUAUACCGCCGUCGUCAGCUUACCCCGUGAGGGACCAAUAGUAAGCUAAACUGGCACAGCCCAAAACGUCAGGUCGAGGUGUAGCACACGAAGUGCGGAAGAGAUGGGCUACAUUUUCUGACCCAGAAAACCACGAAGGGAGAAAUGAAAAAAUUCCUGAAGGAGGAUUUAGCAGUAAGCAGGAAAUAGAGUGCCCUGCUGAAACUGGCCCUUAAGCGCGCACACACCGCCCGUCACUCUCCCCAAACCAACCCUUGGACUAACAUAUAACGUCAACUGGACAAAGGGGAGGCAAGUCGUAACAUGGUAAGUGUACCUGAAGGUGCACUUGGAUAACA
rnacentral:ncRNA from 1 species